rnacentral:lncRNA from 1 species
GAGAUGAAUUCGGAUGAAUCAACCUUUCAAAAUCGUUAGUGGAUCAAAACCAAAAAAAAAAAACGGAUUGAAUCGUCCAAAAUCAUUCGAACCAAAGAAUGGUAGUCGAUUUUGUAAAACCGUUUGGUUAAAAAAAAGCAUCAAAUUAACCAUUUAUUUAAUUUUUAAAAAAAAUUUAAUACGACAAUAUCAAAAUUUAACAUACAUUUUCAAUCAAAAAAAA